UACAGAGACGUCGAGCGUUGUUCGGAUUCAUUGGGCGUAAAGGGUGCGUAGGCGGUGAGGUAAGUCGGAUGUGAAAUCCCAAAGCUUAACUUUGGAAGUGCAUCCGAAACCGCCUUGCUGGAGGACUGGAAGGGAGACUGGAAUUCUCGGUGUAGCGGUGAAAUGCGUAGAUAUCGAGAGGAACACCUGUGGCGAAGGCGGGUCUCUGGACAGUUCCUGACGCUGAGGCACGAAAGCCAGGGGAGCAAACGGG
rnacentral:rRNA from 1 species